rnacentral:lncRNA from 1 species
CUAUUUUAGUUUACAAUUUACAUCAGAGAGCUUUUUAUGCCAUCUUGAUAAGAACCCGUUAAUAAAUCAGUUAUAAUAAAUUUGAUUUCUCAUUUCUUUUCUUCUUUAUUCAAAUAUAAAGAUGAAUCUAUCUGGAUAAAAAUUAAAUUUUUAAUAGAUUUUAAUAAAAGUUAAUGAAAUAUGUGAUUGACAAGUUAAUAAAAGUUGUCAGUACAUUUGAUUGAAAAUGAGUUUGAGAGGAAAUAAAUUUUUUUAAAAUGAGGAUCAAAUAAGGAUUUGUAGAUAAUGGUAAAACUAAAACGUCCACUGAAGAGCUAAAUAUUAGAAUUUACACAUUUUUCAAGAUUAAAGACUAAUUACUCAUCAUACCGUGUUGUAAACGAUCCGGUCCAACUUGGAUGACAUUUUAUAUUAAUCGGUCCAGAAGAAUGCAAAAGAAUAUGUUAUUAUUCAAAAAUUUAAUCCCAUGUGAAGUUUAAACUAUAUCAUGAGCCUGUUUGGAAGUGAUUUUGAGAAUUGAUUUUUUAAUCGUUAGGAGAAAAGUGUGGUCGACCUUAGAGAGAAGAAAUCAAAUAUGAUGGCUGAAAUAAUGAAAUAACGGUCAAAAAGUCAAUUAAAAAUCGCUCCUAAACAGGCUCAUGGUAUACCUGAUGCUUGACGAGUGAAGUUUUAGAUAUUUGUUUCUCUUUCAUUAUAAUCUUAAAAUCAAGAGAAAGCUUCAG